rnacentral:rRNA from 1 species
AGAGUUUUUUCCUGGCUCAGGAUGAACGCUGGCGGCGUGCUUAACACAUGCAAGUCGAACGAAGCGGCUGCAGGGAUUCCCUUCGGGGAGGAACAGUAGCUGUCUGAGUGGCGGACGGGUGAGUAACGCGUGGGCAACCUGCCCCAUACCGGGGGAUAACAGCCGGAAACGGCUGCUAAUACCGCAUACGCCCAGGAGGCUGCAUAGCUUCCUGGGGAAAACUCCGGUGGUAUGGGAUGGGCCCGCGUCUGAUUAGCUCGUUGGCGGGGUAACGGCCCACCAAGGCGACGAUCAGUAGCCGGCCUGAGAGGGCGGCCGGCCACAUUGGGACUGAGACACGGCCCAGACUCCUGCGGGAGGCAGCAGUGGGGAAUAUUGCACAAUGGGGGAAACCCUGAUGCAGCGACGCCGCGUGAGCGAUGAAGUAUCUCGGUAUGUAAAGCUCUAUCAGCAGGGAAGAAAGUGACAGUACCUGACUAAGAAGCCCCGGCUAACUACGUGCCAGCAGCCGCGGUAAUACGUAGGGGGCAAGCGUUAUCCGGAUUCACUGGGCGUAAAGGGAGCGCAGGCGGCACGGCAAGUCUGGUGUGAAAACCCGGGGCUCAACCCCGGGACUGCAUUGGAAACUGCCGGGCUGGAGUGUCGGAGGGGUAAGCGGAAUUCCUAGUGUAGCGGUGAAAUGCGUAGAUAUUAGGAGGAACACCAGUGGCGAAGGCGGCUUACUGGACGAUGACUGACGCUGAGGCUCGAAAGCGUGGGGAGCAAACAGAAUUAGAUACCCUGGUAGUCCACGCCGUAAA